rnacentral:SRP_RNA from 1 species
CAACCUGGAGCUCGGGUGCUCGCUUAUUGAACAAGCCGCGACGGAACGGGCGACGCGGGAAAUCGACGAGCAGCUCGCCCCAGCCGCGGCGGCGAGACG